rnacentral:rRNA from 1 species
GACGAACGCUGGCGGCGUGCUUAACACAUGCAAGUCGAACGGAAAGGCCCUGCUUUUGUGGGGUGCUCGAGUGGCGAACGGGUGAGUAACACGUGAGUAACCUGCCCUUGACUUUGGGAUAACUACAGGAAACUGGGGCUAAUACCGGAUAGGAGCUCCCGCUGCCUGGCGGGGGCUCGCCAGCUUCGGCGGCCGGGGAUGGACUCGCGGCUGAUCAGCUUGUUGGUGGGGUAGUGGCUUACCCAGGCCUUGACGGGUAGCCGGCCUGAGAGGGUGACCGGCCACAGUGGGACUGAGAUACGGCCCAGACUCCUACGGGAGGGAGCAGUGGGGAAUAUUGCACAAUGGGCGGAAGCCUGAUGCAGCAACGCCGCGUGCGGGAUGACGGCCUUCGGGUUGUAAACCGCUUUCGCCUGUGACGAAGCGUGAGUGACGGUAAUGGGUAAAGAAGCACCGGCUAACUACGUG